rnacentral:rRNA from 1 species
CCAGACUCCUACGGGAGGCAGCAGUGGGGAAUCUUCCGCAAUGGACGAAAGUCUGACGGAGCAACGCCGCGUGAGUGAUGACGGCCUUCGGGUUGUAAAGCUCUGUUAAUCGGGACGAAAGGCCUUCUUGCGAAUAGUUAGAAGGAUUGACGGUACCGGAAUAGAAAGCCACGGCUAACUACGUGCCAGCAGCCGCGGUAAUACGUAGGUGGCAAGCGUUAUCCGGAAUCAUUGGGCGUAAAGGGUGCGUAGGUGGCGUACUAAGUCUGUAGUAAAAGGCAAUGGCUCAACCAUUGUAAGCUAUGGAAACUGGUAUGCUGGAGUGCAGAAGAGGGCGAUGGAAUUCCAUGUGUAGCGGUAAAAUGCGUAGAUAUAUGGAGGAACACCAGUGGCGAAGGCGGUCGCCUGGUCUGUAACUGACACUGAGGCACGAAAGCGUGGGGAGCAAAUAGGAUUAGAUACCCUAGUAGUCCACGCCGUAAACGAUGAGAACUAAGUGUUGGAGGAAUUCAGUGCUGCAGUUAACGCAAUAAGUUCUCCGCCUGGGGAGUAUGCACGCAAGUGUGAAACUCAAAGGAAUUGACGGGGGCCCGCACAAGCGGUGGAGUAUGUGGUUUAAUUCGACGCAACGCGAAGAACCUUACCAGGUCUUGACAUCCCCUGCAAAGACAUAGAGAUAUGUUGGAGGUUAUCAGGGAGACAGGUGGUGCAUGGUUGUCGUCAGCUCGUGUCGUGAGAUGUUGGGUUAAGUCCCGCAACGAGCGCAACCCUUGUCGCAUGUUACCAGCAUCAAGUUGGGGACUCAUGCGAGACUGCCGGUGACAAACCGGAGGAAGGUGGGGAUGACGUCAAAUCAUCAUGCCCCUUAUGACCUGGGCUACACACGUACUACAAUGGCGACCACAAAGAGCAGCGACACAGUGAUGUGAAGCGAAUCUCAUAAAGGUCGUCUCAGUUCGGAUUGAAGUCUGCAACUCGACUUCAUGAAGUCGGAAUCGCUAGUAAUCGCAGAUCAGCAUGCUGCGGUGAAUACGUUCUCGGGCCUUGUACACACCGCCCGUCAAACCAUGGGAGUCAGUAAUACCCGAAGCCGGUGGCAUAACCGUAAGGAGUGAGCCGUCGAAGGUAGGACCGAUGACUGGGGUUAAGUCGUAACAAGGUAUCCCUACGGGAACGUGGGGAUG